CGAAAAAUUAGUUAUUUAAGUAAAUAAUAUUGUAUUAAUUCUGUCGAAAGAUGCGAAGAAAAAAAAACUGCAGGAAGGAAAAGAUUACGGGCCAAUGUUAUCUUAAAAAAAGUUGAUAAACAAACUUCGUCGUUUUAUAAGUAGGUUUUAUCAAAUUUUGAUUAACAAUACAUAGUUUAUAAAAUUGCAAGAUUCAAGAAAACCCUUUUUAUUAUCUGAAGUGGCAUAAUUAAACAAAUAAAUAAAAUGUGACCCCUGAAAUCCACACGGUUCCCAAUAUAAAGUAAUUUUAAUUUCAUUUUUUAUGGAUAGGUAAUAUCUUUAAAAUAGCAAUUUGAUUUUGUGUGUGAAAUAUUUAAAUGAAACUUCUUUAAAUCAUUUUAUUCCACUUUUUUAAACAAAUGUUAUUUUGGGAUGUUUUUAAAUUUAAUAAAUGCACAUUUUAUGUCGAAAACAACGAAUGGUCCCUAUUGUUUUGUUUGUGUAUGAUGUCCUUGAAACAGUCAAGGGCAGUGAAAGUAAUUCGGAUAGACGAGAUGCUAUCGUGUUGAAUACGAUGAUAAAAGUUAACAUUUAAAAAUUCCGUGUUCCUCGUGUUUUGCACCGGUCAGUUCGUUUAUGAUGAAAAACUAUAAUUUUGAACUGAUAAAUGUUUUUAAAAAAUAUAGUGAUUGUGUAGAACGUCUAUGCAGUGUUUAUAUUUUGUCGAAAGUGAUCUGGACAUUGGCAGAUGCCCGGCCACAGGAUCAUUCAACGAAAGCUUAAGCUAAAGUUAAACAAUUUCAUGAAUUUACAAUACACGUGAUGAUGAUUUUGUAACUUCUAAAGUGGAUGUUGCUUUCUGAGGUUGAUUCCAAUGCUGUUCGAGGCGGUGGAUAG